rnacentral:rRNA from 1 species
GACGAACGCUGGCGGCGUGCCUAAUACAUGCAAGUCGAGCGGAUCUUGAAAAGCUUGCUUUACUUGAUCAGCGGCGGACGGGUGAGUAACACGUGGGCAACCUGCCUGUAAGACUGGGAUAACUUCGGGAAACCGGAGCUAAUACCGGAUAAUUCUUUCCCUCUCAUGAGGGAAAGCUUGAAAGGCGGCUUCGGCUGUCACUUACAGAUGGGCCCGCGGCGCAUUAGCUAGUUGGUGGGGUAACGGCUCACCAAGGCGACGAUGCGUAGCCGACCUGAGAGGGUGAUCGGCCACACUGGGACUGAGACACGGCCCAGACUCCUACGGGAGGCAGCAGUAGGGAAUCUUCCGCAAUGGACGAAAGUCUGACGGAGCAACGCCGCGUGAGCGAAGAAGGCCUUCGGGUCGUAAAGCUCUGUUGUCAGGGAAGAACAAGUGCCAUAGUAACUGAUGGCACCUUGACGGUACCUGACCAGAAAGCCACGGCUAACUACGUGCCAGCCGCCGCCGUAAGAC